CACGUAGGGGCCAAGCGUUGUCCGGAUUUAUUGGGCGUAAAGAGCUCGUAGGCGGUUCGACAAGUCGGGUGUGAAAACUCCGGGCUCAACCCGGAGACGCCACCCGAUACUGUCGUGACUGGAGUCCGGUAGGGGAGCGUGGAAUUCCUGGUGUAGCGGUGAAAUGCGCAGAUAUCAGGAGGAACACCAGCGGCGAAGGCGGCGCUCUGGGCCGGUACUGACGCUGAGGAGCGAAAGCGUGGGGAGCAAACAGG
rnacentral:rRNA from 1 species